AUCCAGUUCCAAUAUGGAAAAGAUGAUUCAUGAGAGGAUUGAUGUUGUCUCCAACCAGACAAAUGAUCACAGUAUAUCGAUGAAUGAUAAUCAUGAAAAUCUGAGUCAAGAGUUGGAUAUUCUCAGGCAUAUGGUGGAAAAUAUUCAGGAAGAGAUUGAAGAAUCAGGUUUCAGACAGGAAAUGACGAAUAUUGACACAAACAAACGAAUGAACCUGUUAGAGAUGGCUCUCAAUAUGACUGUUGCAGAAAUUCAAAGUAGUAAGUCUGGCCAUGCGGACUUUGCAAACAAAACAAUGAGUCUGCUUCGUAAUGUCAUGGAUAUUUAUAGAAAUCAAAUAGAAACAGAGAACUCAACAUCAGCUGGAGAUAACCUAAUUGACGAUGUAACAGUUCGUGAGAAUACAACAACUCCUUCUUCAGAUAGCAUAGAUAGCACCCUGCCAGAGGACACAUGCACUCAUCCAAAGGCAGUUACAUCAAAUAUGAUCAGUUGUUCAGCCUCCUCUACAUAUAGUAGAAAGCAUACCUGUGCAAAGGCCUUUGACGGAGUUCUACAAACAAAUCGGGUUGGGUCUACUUGGGCAUCAAAGGGUGAGGGUGUCGGGGCCUGGAUUCAAGCAACUUUUUCACAAGAAAUUAUUAUUAAGGAGAUAAAGCUGCUUCAAAGGUUUGCGGAAGCCGAAGCAAAUCGAGUGCCAUUCUUCCAGCUAGAGGGAGCCGACACUGGAAUGUUAUAAGACUUUCGAGAGGAGUUCCCUCUUCAUCCCUAAAAAUCACCAUUACUGAGGUUUACGGAACAAUCAACAAUGGGUUCAAGGAGAUCUCUGUGCU
rnacentral:misc_RNA from 1 species